AUUGAACGCUGGCGGCAGGCCUAACACAUGCAAGUCGAGCGGAUGAAGGGAGCUUGCUCCUGGUUUCAGCGGCGGACGGGUGAGUAAUGCCUAGGAAUCUGCCUGGUAGUGUGGGAUAACGUCCGGAAACGGGCGCUAAUACCGCAUACGUCCUGAGGGAGAAAGGGGGGGAUCUUCGGACCUCACGCUAUCAGAUGAGCCUAGGUCGGAUUAGCUAGUUGGUGGGGUAAAGGCCUACCAAGGCGACGAUCCGUAACUGGUCUGAGAGGAUGAUCAGUCACACUGGAACUGAGACACGGUCCAGACUCCUACGGGAGGCAGCAGUGGGGAAUAUUGGACAAUGGGCGAAAGCCUGAUCCAGCCAUGCCGCGUGUGUGAAGAAGGUCUUCGGAUUGUAAAGCACUUUAAGUUGGGAGGAAGGGCAGUAAGUUAAUACCUUGCUGUUUUGACGUUACCCACAGAAUAAGCACCGGCUAACUUCGUG
rnacentral:rRNA from 1 species